GAUCCUGGUUCAGAACGAACGCUGGCGGCAAGCUUAACACAUGCAAGUCGAACGGACCAUACGCGCAGCUUGCUGCGUGUAUGGUUAGUGGCAGACGGGUGAGUAAUGCAUAGGAAUCUACCUAGUAGUAUAGGAUAGCCACUAGAAAUGGUGGGUAAUACUGUAUAAUCCCUGCGGGGGAAAGAUUUAUCGCUAUUAGAUGAGCCUAUGUCAGAUUAGCUAGUUGGUGGGGUAAUGGCCUACCAAGGCGGUGAUCUGUAGCUGGUCUGAGAGGAUGAUCAGCCACACUGGAACUGAGACACGGUCCAGACUCCUACGGGAGGCAGCAGUGGGGAAUAUUGGACAAUGGGCGCAAGCCUGAUCCAGCUAUGCCGCGUGAGUGAGGAAGGCCUUAGGGUUGUAAAACUCUUUCAGUAGGGAAGAUAAUGACGGUACCUACAGAAGAAGUCCCGGCAAACU
rnacentral:rRNA from 1 species